rnacentral:rRNA from 1 species
UACGUAGGGGCAAGCGUUGUCCGGAUUUAUUGGGCGUAAAGAGCGUGUAGGCGGCCUGAAAGGUCAGCUGUGAAAACUCGAGGCUCAACCUCGAGACGUCGGUUGAAACCAUCUGGCUAGAGUCCGGAAGAGGAGUGUGGAAUUCCCGGUGUAGCGGUGAAAUGCGCAGAUAUCGGGAAGAACACCCGUGGCGAAGGCGGCACUCUGGGACGGUACUGACGCUGAGACGGCGAAAAGCGUGGGGAGCGAACAGG